rnacentral:lncRNA from 1 species
UUAUCCGGUAAGUUCAGUGCGAUUUAAAGUGGUGCUAGUUUCAGGCUGCGUUUGGUUAGAGAACUAAAUUUUGGAGAAUAACUUUUGUUGUUCCCGAGAAUAAAAAAUAUUCCGGUAUAAGCUAGAACAAGUUGUAAAUUACUACGUUUGGAUGUUGUUUGUUUGUUUAUUCCUAGAGAAUAUUCUUGAUAGUGUUUGGAUAUUUAUGUUGGAAUAAGGUGUUGGAAAGAUAAAAAUUAAAUAAAAUGACUGAUUUGCCGUUGAAUGUAAUAAUCAAAUAUAAUUUAAUAAAUUAAGUAUUAAAAUAAAUUAAUUUACAAAUUAAGUAUAUUUGUAUAUUAUUUUGAAAAUAUUAAUUUAGUAGUAUUCAAUUUAAGUAUUUAUUUAUUUUUUUUUGAAACUAAUUUAAAGUAUAAAUAUUUAAAAUG